rnacentral:rRNA from 1 species
GACGAACGCUGGCGGCGUGCUUAACACAUGCAAGUCGAACGAAGUGGCGAACGGGUGAGUAACGCGUAAUCAACCUGCCCUUCAGAGGGGGACAACAGUUGGAAACGACUGCUAAUACCGCAUACUGAAGGAGGGGAUUGCGUCUGAUUAGCUAGUUGGAGGGGUAACGGCCCACCAAGGCGAUGAUCAGUAGGCGGGUUGGAGGGAUGAACGGCCACAUUUGGACUGGGAAACGGCCCAGACUCCUACGGGAGGCAGCAGUGGGGAAUCUUUCGCAAUGGACGAAAGUCUUGAGGAGCAACGCCGCGUGAUUGAUGACGGCCUUCGGGUUGUAAAGCUCUGUUAAUCGGGACGCGGUACCGGAAUAGAAAGCCACGGCUAACUACGUGCCAGCAGCCGCGGUAAUUC